rnacentral:rRNA from 1 species
UACAGAAGGGGCAAGCGUUAUUCGGAAUUAUUGGGCGUAAAGGGCGCGUAGGCGGCCUGGCAAGUGGAUGGUGAAAUCCCUCGGCUUAACCGAGGAACUGCCAUCCAGACUGCUUGGCUUGAGACCGGGAGAGGUGAGUGGAAUUCCCAGUGUAGCGGUGAAAUGCGUAGAUAUCAGGAGGAACACCCGUGGCGAAAGCGGCUCUCUGGGACGGUACUGACGCUGAGACGCGAAAGCGUGGGGAGCAAACAGG